AAAUGAAGUAGGUGAACUCACGUAUGAAAUGAAGAAGACUCCAAGAAGGCUUAGGGUACCUUUUACAACCUCACAACUGCACAAGGUGUUGCAAGAGAUUUCGUUGUCUUUUGUCGGUGAGAGAUGAAGAGGGAAGACGCAUGUGGAGAGAGCUGGUAGACCACCAGACAGAGUGGACGAGGAUCGAGGACCUGAAGGUCAGCGACGCUCGGAGGAGGUCGAUGGUGGAUGAAUGGCCUUAUCAGGUUUUUUUGAAGACCUUUACCCACUCUCAGGGUCUCACAGUUGGCCGCUAUUCAAUAUACCAAGGGCGCGGCCUGGAAGACUAGCACACCUUCAAGGUUCUGGGAUUUCAUGGCUCUCAAGGCGGGCGACCUUGAGGUCAGUGCCUCCGCAGGAAAUUGCUUCCUCCUCCUCAACAGUUCCAUCAUGUUGAUUACUCCCAUGCUCUUUGGAAGGCAAGUAGAGGAAACAUGGAGAAAUUUGCAACGCUGUGUGAAACUGUGUGAGUCCGUGACUGAGGUCACAAAAGGAAAUACAUCUCAUAAACCAGUACGUCGUUCCAAAGAUGUACCAGGUAGUACAUCAAUUGGUCAUUGUAAAUUGCCCUGUGAUUAGGCUCGGGUUAAAUAGGUGGGAUGUGGGAUGGUGUGGAACAUUGGGCUGGGCUCUACGCUGUAUCUCGAAAGAAAUAAAAUAAAUGACAAAAAGUGCUGCUUGAGUCCAGCUUCAUUAAGUAAAAUGGGGUCUUGAGAAAUAGUGAGUAAAACCUGAGAAAAAUUAAAAGAGCUGCAGAUGCUGGAAAUCUAAUAUAAAACAGAAAAAGUUGGAAAUAGUAAGUCAGGCAAUAGCUGUGGAAAGAGAAUCAGAGUAAAUUCUCAAUCAGUACCUCUCAUCGAUAAACCUGCUCUUUCUGAUAGUAGAUAAGGACUAUUAUUUUCUAAACCGUUGAGACCCAAAGCUCUGUUGGCCAAUUUUGUACAUUGUAUAACUAUUGCCAUUAUUGGGGGCAAAAGUACACGAGGGAAAAAUUGCUCAGGUAAAUAAAAUCUGCCAGAGUGUCAAGGAACAAAUUCCCUCAUGCAAAUGUCUGCAAAAAUGCUCUGCUCCAAGUUUUGUCUGUUUUCAACGUCACAUCUAUUUUGUUUUAAGAGUUCUGUUUUAAGAAUUUUUGAGCUCCUUUGUUAUCAAUUUUAUGGACCAAAGUAAAGCAGCGGAUGUUCAUCCAAGGCUCAAAAAAUGGCAAAGGCCAAUUAAAAGCACAACACUCCACAGAACACAUUUUCACAAUCCCACUGAUAUCCUUGCCUCCAUAUCUCAACUGCCAUUCAAUCAAGUGUGCAAUCUGGAGGAAAUCCUACUUCUCUACAAUUGUGACCUACUUGUUUUGCACCUACACUCAGUAGCUGCUUUAUUAGGUACAGGAGGUAACCCAGGAGUAUGUUCCUGGUCUUCUGCCGCUGUAGCUCAUCCACAUCAAGGUUCAAUGUGUUGUGCGUUGAGCGAUGCUCUUCUGCACACCAUUGUUGUAACGCAUAGUUAUUUGAGUCAUUGUCGCCUUCCCAUCUACUUGAACCAGUACCAGCAUUCUCCUCUGACCUCUCUCAUUAACAGGGCUUAUUUGCCCACUGAACUGUUGCUCACUGGAUUUUUUAUUUUGUUUUUUUUUUCCUCACCACUCUCUGUAAACUUUAGUAACUGUUGUACACGAAAAUCUCAGGAGAUCAGCAGCUUCUGAGAUACUCAAACCACCAUAUCUGGCACCAACAAUCAUUCCACUUAGAUCACAUCUCUUCCCCAUUCUGAUGUCUGGUCUGAUCAACAAAUGAACCUUUUUCUUCUUCUUGUAAAGUUUAAUGGCAGUUGGCAGACCAACAUAAGGUGCAUUACCACCACCUGUUGUGUUGGAGUGUGGAGCAAUGACACAGAAAGUACUUCCACUAAAUUCCUCUCCGCCAAAAAAAAACUGGACAAUAUCAAAGUCUAACACUUUACAGAAAGUCAAAUACGCACUUAUAUAUUACAUUAAAAUGACAGUCAUAUCCUAAUGCUUUUCAUGUUAAGCUGUGUCUGUCCCAAAGAUCUCAAUUUAGCAAUUAGUUGUUUCUUUUGCACCUCAAAGGAACUGUAUUCUAACAAUAUUUGCUGCACCAUUUCACAACAAGUACACUCCCAAGAGAUGCCCAUAUUAUGCAUCUUAAUUCUGAAUAGGGAAUUAUUCAAUCUAGUACGUCCAAUACACAAACAUGUAAGUCUAAUUUCUUCAACACACAUCAAAGUUGCUGGUGAACGCAG